CUGGAAUUCACAGAUGAAGAUGCAGAGAGGAUCAGAGUUGCGGAUGACCUGAAAAUAUGUCGAAAGGUCUAUAAAGAUAUCACCAACCAUAAAAUGAGAUUGGCUUAACCAAGCACACACAAUAGUUGUUCGUUGUCCUAGACCGGUGCCAAAUUUUACAUCAUAGCGGAG